AACGAACGCUGGCGGCAGGCUUAACACAUGCAAGUCGAACGCCCCGCAAGGGGAGUGGCAGACGGGUGAGUAACGCGUGGGAAUCUACCCAGUUCUACGGAACAACUGAGGGAAACUUCAGCUAAUACCGUAUACGCCCUACGGGGGAAAGAUUUAUCGGAAUUGGAUGAGCCCGCGUUGGAUUAGCUAGUUGGUGAGGUAACGGCUCACCAAGGCGACGAUCCAUAGCUGGUCUGAGAGGAUGAUCAGCCACACUGGGACUGAGACACGGCACAGACUCCUACGGGAGGCAGCAGUGGGGAAUCUUGCGCAAUGGGCGAAAGCCUGACGCAGCCAUGCCGCGUGAAUGAUGAAGGUCUUAGGAUUGUAAAAUUCUUUCACCGGGGACGAUAAUGACGGUACCCGGAGAAGAAGCCCCGGCUAACUUCGUGCCAGCCGCCGCAGUAAAAC
rnacentral:rRNA from 1 species